rnacentral:snoRNA from 1 species
GCGCUCCAGAUUUCUGACCCCUCAGAUCUGAUUAUUGGUCUGAGUGGAUCAAAAAGGACGAUAAGUGAAACUGAAGUGGCCUUGGAAUCUUCCAUGACAUGCAAGUUCAUUUCAAACAAAG